UACGUAGGGGGCAAGCGUUGUCCGGAUUUAUUGGGCGUAAAGAGCGUGUAGGCGGCCUGACAAGUCUGCUGUGAAAACUCGAGGCUCAACCUCGAGAUGUCGGCGGAAACUGUCUGGCUAGAGUCCGGAAGAGGAGAGUGGAAUUCCUGGUGUAGCGGUGAAAUGCGCAGAUAUCAGGAAGAACACCUAUGGCGAAGGCAGCUCUCUGGGACGGUACUGACGCUGAGACGCGAAAGCCAGGGGAGCAAACGGG
rnacentral:rRNA from 1 species